rnacentral:rRNA from 1 species
GACAGAGGAGGCAAGCGUUAUCCGGAGUCAUUGGGCGUAAAGGGUACGUAGGCGGAUAGUCAAGUCUGGGGUUAAAGACCACAGCUUAACUGUGGGAAGGCCUUGGAAACUGACUGGCUAGAGUGGGGCAGGGGUUGCGGGAAUUCCCGGUGUAGCGGUGAAAUGCGUAGAUAUCGGGAAGAACACCUGAGGCGAAAGCGCGCAACUGGGCCCUAACUGACGCUGAGGUACGAAAGCUAGGGGAGCGAAUGGG